rnacentral:lncRNA from 10 species
GGCUGAGGCUGGGGGAGGGUGUGAGGGACCUGAGAGGAGGACAGCGGAGAGGGAGAAGAGCUCCUGGAGAGAAUGGUCACGGAAGGUGUCAGAGGCCCUAGAGAUUCAGGUAGAACAAAAAUGCUGCAGCAGCCUGUGACUUCAGCAAGAAUAGUUUGUGUGGGGUGUGGUCUCAGGAGCACCAGGGAGUGAGUCCUGGAGAGGGGUGGCUGUGAGAAUCUGGGAGCGAGUGUGAGUGUGGCGUGGAGGGGGCACUGUGUAACAGAAGGCAGAAGGGCAGGCAGCUGGGAGGCUGCGGGAACCUGAAGACCAGAGGGUUGACCCUUUGUUCCAGGAAACGCUUGAUCAAAUUCCCCUGAAGUCUCCCGCAAAGCACAGACGUUUGGACUUGUCUUCCCUCUUCUGUCUUAGGGGAAAAAGGAGUCAGAGAGCAAGAGACGGCUGUUACCUCCAGCUUUCAAGGGCAGCAGAACGCCACAGUGGUUGAGCAUGGGCUCUGGUGAAGGAUGGCGGGGGUUCAAAUCCCAGUUCUCCACCUCUCUGCUUCGCUCCGAUUCCUGGGCCUCUGAGCUGGUCUCCUCCGCUGUGGAGUAACAGUGUGACUGCUCAUCUGCACAGAUUCCUUCUGUGCUGGACACGGUUCCAACUUUCCAACUACUCCCGCAGGAGCUCAUUUAGUGGAGACAAGAUCUUGCUCAGUGUCAUAGUGAGGAAGAAAUGGAAAUAUCUGUGCAGGGCCCAAGCCCGGCCUGGUGCGGGAGAGGCAUUAAUAAACGCAGCUUGAGUUCAGAAGCAGGUGGUCUGUGGCUCACUCAGCCUGGCUUCCUGCUGGGUCUUCACAGUGCUGGGCUACCUUCCUGGAGAGAACCAAAGUCCAGGCUGUGUAGAUGCCUGUGGUCCACCAGCGCAAAGCAGCGGCCCAUCAGGACGCUUCGGAGGUAGAUGCGUCUGAGUUCCAUGACAUCGGGGACAUGGCCCCACUCCUGUUCUGGAGGUCACGGGCCUGCUGAACCUCUUGUACCAGGUCAGCCACCAGGUUCAUCUGGCAGGACCUGAGAGCCCCCACCAGGUGGGCCACUGUUGCGUUCUCCUUCUCUGUGUUCUUCCAGAUUCUCAGUGACUCCCGCACACGCUCUGUCAGGUUGCGGGGGUAUCUGUCCUCGAUGCUGUCGAUCUUGGUGUCUGAGACUUUGAGCUGACGAGCCAGCCUUCUCCAAUCUUUCCCCACAUUAUCACAUAUGACGUUAAAUGCUGCACACAGGUCUGG